rnacentral:rRNA from 1 species
UACAGAGGGUGCGAGCGUUGUUCGGAAUUAUUGGGCGUAAAGGGCGCGUAGGCGGUGCCACAAGUCACUUGUGAAAUCCCCGGGCUUAACUCGGGGCCUGCAGGCGAAACUGUGGUGCUGGAGUAUGGGAGAGGUGCGUGGAAUUCCCGGUGUAGCGGUGAAAUGCGCAGAUAUCAGGAGGAACACCGGUGGCGAAGGCGGGUCUCUGGGCCGUAACUGGACGCUGGAGGAGCGAAAGCGUGGGGAGCGAACAG